UACGUAGGGUGCAAGCGUUGUCCGGAAUUAUUGGGCGUAAAGAGCUCGUAGGCGGUGUGUCACGUCGAUCGUGAAAACUUGGGGCUUAACCCUGAGCUUGCGGUCGAUACGGGCAUCACUAGAGUUCGGCAGGGGAGACUGGAAUUCCUGGUGAAGCGGUGAAAUGCGUAGAUAUCAGAAGGAACGCCGGUGGCGAAAGCGACUCUCUGGCCCGUAUCUGACGCUGAGGCGCGAAAGCUUGGGUAGCAAACAGG
rnacentral:rRNA from 1 species